rnacentral:misc_RNA from 1 species
GAAUCUAGGCAGUUUGAUGGGGUUAGUGGAAGUGAGGGACCAUCUCAACCUUCAGUUACACCAGAGGAAGAUCAUGACUCUGCAAAGGACAUCUCUGAAAAAGAUUUAGACUCAACUAUGUCAGUCACUGUUCAUCAACCACCAGCUCCCAGUGUAAAAGGGAAAAAGCAAAAGGGGAAGAAUUCUCAAGUGUCUGGCCCA